rnacentral:rRNA from 1 species
AUUGAACGCUGGCGGCAUGCCUUACACAUGCAAGUCGAACGGUAACGGGCCUUCGGGUGCCGACGAGUGGCGAACGGGUGAGUAAUACAUCGGAACGUGCCCGAUCGUGGGGGAUAACGAGGCGAAAGCUUUGCUAAUACCGCAUACGAUCUACGGAUGAAAGCAGGGGACCGCAAGGCCUUGCGCGGACGGAGCGGCCGAUGGCAGAUUAGGUAGUUGGUGGGAUAAAAGCUUACCAAGCCGACGAUCUGUAGCUGGUCUGAGAGGAUGAUCAGCCACACUGGGACUGAGACACGGCCCAGACUCCUACGGGAGGCAGCAGUGGGGAAUUUUGGACAAUGGGCGCAAGCCUGAUCCAGCCAUGCCGCGUGCAGGAUGAAGGCCUUCGGGUUGUAAACUGCUUUUGUACGGAACGAAAAGCUUUCUUUUAAUACAGGAGGGUCAUGACGGUACCGUAAGAAUAAGCACCGGCUAACUACGUG